AAUCAACGCUGGCGGCGUGCCUCAGACAUGCAAGUCGAACGAUUAAAGCUCUCUUCGGAGAGUGUAUAGAGUGGCGCACGGGUGAGUAACACGUAAGUAAUCUACCUUUGAGUGGGGAAUAACGUCCGGAAACGGACGCUAAUACCGCAUAAUGCAGCGGCAUCGCAAGAUGACAGUUGUUAAAGAUUUAUCGCUUGAAGAGGAGCUUGCGGCAGAUUAGCUAGUUGGUAAGGUAAUGGCUUACCAAGGCUACGAUCUGUAACCGGUCUAAUAGGAGGGUCGGUCACACUGACACUGAAUACCGGGUCAGACUCCUACGGGAGGCAGCAGUCGGGAAUUUUGGGCAAUGGGCGAAAGCCUGACCCAGCAACGCCGCGUGAAGGAUGAAGUAUUUCGGUAUGUAAACUUCGAAAGAAUGGGAAGAAUAAAUGACGGUACCAUUUAUAAGGUCCGGCUAACUACGUGCCAGCCGCCGCGGUAAAAC
rnacentral:rRNA from 1 species